rnacentral:rRNA from 1 species
ACUUAAAUUGAAGAGUUUGAUCAUGGCUCAGAUUGAACGCUGGCGGCAGGCCUAACACAUGCAAGUCGAGCGGUAGCACAGAGAGCUUGCUCUCGGGUGACGAGCGGCGGACGGGUGAGUAAUGUCUGGGAAACUGCCUGAUGGAGGGGGAUAACUACUGGAAACGGUAGCUAAUACCGCAUAAUGUCGCAAGACCAAAGUGGGGACCUUCGGGCCUCAUGCCAUCAGAUGUGCCCAGAUGGGAUUAGCUAGUAGGUGGGGUAACGGCUCACCUAGGCGACGAUCCCUAGCUGGUCUGAGAGGAUGACCAGCCACACUGGAACUGAGACACGGUCCAGACUCCUACGGGAGGCAGCAGUGGGGAAUAUUGCACAAUGGGCGCAAGCCUGAUGCAGCCAUGCCGCGUGUGUGAAGAAGGCCUUCGGGUUGUAAAGCACUUUCAGCGGGGAGGAAGGCGGUGAGGUUAAUAACCUCAUCGAUUGACGUUACCCGCAGAAGAAGCACCGGCUAACUCCGUGCCAGCAGCCGCGGUAAUACGGAGGGUGCAAGCGUUAAUCGGAAUUACUGGGCGUAAAGCGCACGCAGGCGGUCUGUCAAGUCGGAUGUGAAAUCCCCGGGCUCAACCUGGGAACUGCAUUCGAAACUGGCAGGCUAGAGUCUUGUAGAGGGGGGUAGAAUUCCAGGUGUAGCGGUGAAAUGCGUAGAGAUCUGGAGGAAUACCGGUGGCGAAGGCGGCCCCCUGGACAAAGACUGACGCUCAGGUGCGAAAGCGUGGGGAGCAAACAGGAUUAGAUACCCUGGUAGUCCACGCCGUAAACGAUGUCGAUUUGGAGGUUGUGCCCUUGAGGCGUGGCUUCCGGAGCUAACGCGUUAAAUCGACCGCCUGGGGAGUACGGCCGCAAGGUUAAAACUCAAAUGAAUUGACGGGGGCCCGCACAAGCGGUGGAGCAUGUGGUUUAAUUCGAUGCAACGCGAAGAACCUUACCUGGUCUUGACAUCCACAGAACUUUCCAGAGAUGGAUUGGUGCCUUCGGGAACUGUGAGACAGGUGCUGCAUGGCUGUCGUCAGCUCGUGUUGUGAAAUGUUGGGUUAAGUCCCGCAACGAGCGCAACCCUUAUCCUUUGUUGCCAGCGGUCCGGCCGGGAACUCAAAGGAGACUGCCAGUGAUAAACUGGAGGAAGGUGGGGAUGACGUCAAGUCAUCAUGGCCCUUACGACCAGGGCUACACACGUGCUACAAUGGCAUAUACAAAGAGAAGCGACCUCGCGAGAGCAAGCGGACCUCAUAAAGUAUGUCGUAGUCCGGAUUGGAGUCUGCAACUCGACUCCAUGAAGUCGGAAUCGCUAGUAAUCGUAGAUCAGAAUGCUACGGUGAAUACGUUCCCGGGCCUUGUACACACCGCCCGUCACACCAUGGGAGUGGGUUGCAAAAGAAGUAGGUAGCUUAACCUUCGGGAGGGCGCUUACCACUUUGUGAUUCAUGACUGGGGUGAAGUCGUAACAAGGUAACCGUAGGGGAACCUGCGGUUGGAUCACCUCCUUACCUUAAAGAA